CCCUGUGAAAGGGUCGUUCGACCCCAAAGGGGUCAUGACCCACAGGUUGAGAACUGCUGACUUAGAGUAAAUGUGAGGUAACUAUAGCUUUAUCUUAUCAAUAGAGAAAAAAAAAGAUAAUCAUGCAGUAGAAAUGGCAACUUACAAAAUCGGAAAACAUUUUCUCCAGGCCUUCAAAAUUUUAUAAAACUGAAAACACAGUUAAACUUUUGCAAGCUUAGAUUUAUUUAUGUUCACCAGGGGUCAGCAAAAUAUAUAGUCUUUGGGCCAAAAUCUAGCUGCCUGUUUUGUAAACACCAUUUGUUAGAAGACAGCCACGCCCAUUUGUUUACGUAUCCUCUAUGGCUGCUUUCAUGCUACAACUGGCAGAAUUGAGCAGGUGUGACAGACCAUGGCUUGAAAGCCUCAAAUACGUGCCAUCUGACCCUUUACAGGAAACGUUUGCCAGCCUCUGGCCUAUACUGUUAAGGGAAAGAAGCAUAUCAGGGUUUGCUCCUGCUCAAACCUCAUGAACCUACGUAACUUGGGCUGUUACUAGAGUCAGGGUCUGUCCCCUGGUCAGAUGCCUACAACUCAGAGUGGGACAGAGUGAUGGCCUGAAACUAGUGCCCACAACUCUAAGCAACAGAAGAUGUGGCAGCGCCAACUAUUUUUCUUCUGAAUUAGAUAUUCCCAAGUUAAGAUUAAUUUAAAAUAAGGUUAAGGGUUUCUCACCCUAAAUAUCUCAUUCUUUUGUUUGAUAAUGUGGAUGAAAAAGGGGUGCUGUAAUAAAUCAUCAGUUCCUAACAGGCCAGGUAAGGUGGGUAGCCACGCCCAGUCCUAGAGCUUCUUUAUUGACAGGUUUUUAAGCCAGCCCCGUCCAUUGCUCUUCUGCACCUAGGUUAGCUCACCUUUGCAAUGCCACAGUAACACCCCUCAAAGGCGUAGCCACCCUUGAGAGAGCACAUUAUCUUGUAAUCCAGUCCCCACCUUGCUUCCUUCCACUCAUGCAGUCUUCCUUACAUUCCCUCCUUAAUUUUAAAUGCACAAAAGAAACUUCAAACUGUUAUCCUUUGGAGCGUUUUAGAGCUUGCUUCCUGGUAAUUGUUAAUUUUAUUAUAGCUAAAAUAAACUCUUACAAAAGUUCUUUACAGGUUUGGACGUUUCUUACGGCAACAUUGAUUUGGUGCCGUACGGCAGAAUUCUGAAGCCCACCCAGGACCACCCUGCAGACCGGGACGGGUGUCUGGUACCAGCAGAGGCCCACUGUGCCUCAUCAGUGCCCUGCUUUGCAUCGGGUGAACGUGGCAAGCUCCCAGGACUCCCAGGAGACAAAGACUUUAAAGAUCACUGACUGCCACCUGGAGAUUUUACUAGAAAGGACGUUAAGUAAAAGACAUUGUCCAACCUCAUUGGAAGGGAUCUUAUCACGCGCCUAGCUGCAGAUGGACAUCUACUCCUGUCUAUAGAGACUCCUUGAGGAUGAAAAGCCACCAAUACCAAUGGGACAGUGGUCCCAAGACAUCAACAAGGCCUGUAUACCAACAGAUUGAUACUAAACUCAGAAUCCAUUUUAUUUGAUUAUCUUUAUCUGUCUGCUAAUGAUUUUUGCCAUAAUAGUAGUUACACUUGUUCUUUGGGCUUUUCUAUAUAGUCAAACUGUUUAUGAUUACUGAGCAUGUAUGAGAUAAGUGCUAAUACUAUUUUCAUGCUCAUGUAAAUGUUAUACUAGAUGCCAUCCACAGAAAAAUGAGACAGAAGGCAAAUCUCAGAUCCUGAUGGUUCACAGGAUAGAAAUGAUCCAGAGUGUUUUAUUUUUGCAAUGAAGGCCAUAAGACCCGACUGCCUUCCACUUACCUGCCCCUCCUUCUGAGGAAAAUUCAGCCUCGACUCACAUCCCAUUUUGGAUGAAUAAAGGGAAGUAACCUCACAAGGUGAUACCAUCAUAAAUUCCUAACUGGGCAGGGUAGGUAGUCACGCCCAGGCAUGGCCUUACCUUCUUUACUAAAGCUUCUCUUUGCCUUAAGCAGACCUGUCCAUUGUGUCUGUGCAGCUAGGUAACACACCUGUGAAAUGCCCCCUUUCAGAGCCCUCCUUCUAAAGUGCAACUGCCCUGCAACUACCCUCAUGAGAGUAAGUAAUCCUAACUAACCUGUAAUCUGAUCUCCGCCUUGCUUUUCCUACUUUCAAUGUAAUUUAGUUCCCUCCUUCAUCUUAAAUGUAUAAAAGAAACUGCAAACUUAUUCUCCAGCAUUUAUCUUAAUCUGUUGAGAUCUUGCUUCCCAUUGUAUUCUGUUUGGCUCAAAUUUUUAUAAAAUUUCUCUACAGGUUUGGA